UAAAAUUGUAUUUUGAUAAAAUUGAUUAAUAUCUGUUAAAACUUUGAAUCACCUCCAUGUCACUACACAACUACUAAAUCAUCAAAACCUUCCUAACGCAUUUCGAACGGUGUUUGUUCCGAUUCACGCAUUUGGAUUGGUUGAUUAUAUUCCAUCAAACCUUCCUUCUCCCCCCACUUACUUUUAACUCUCUAAAACAUCAAAACCUCAAAUCCCAAUAACCCCAAAACCUCAAUCUCCCUCAAAAACUUUAUUAAUCUUUCAUCUUGAUCUAAAUCUCACAUUUCUUUAGUUAUGAAGGAGACUCAUAAAUGUGUUCGUCUUGGUAGGGUCACAACUACUACGUCCACUCAUAGGGAACUUCAACAACAACAAAAUGAUAUAGGUGAAAGUUCACAUAGAGAGAUUGAAGAUGUGUCGUAUGAAGAUAUGUCAACUGUAGACGUACAUGUUGAGAUGCCACCACUGCCGCCACCUAGUUUAGAGUUUCUCGAAAGUCCUAUAUCAAUGUUGGGAUCAUUUAAGGAUCAUGUACCCUCUCACAUAUAAAUUGGAGAGCUUCGUGAUGGACUAAAGUGUGUCAACCAUGGACGAAAGAUCUCAUCAUUAGAAGUCCCAAAUGAAGAUUGAUUUUUAGAUGCGCUAAAAUUGAUUGAGUUGUCAGUGAUUGCUCAGACUAGUUAUGUGACUAUUGAUCCAAGUCUAAUAUCAACAUUUUUAGAGAGGUGGCUUAUAGAGACCAGAGCUUCCAUCUCCAAUUUGGUAAGAUGAACAUUACAUUGGAUGACGUAUCACGUAUCAUGUCUCUUGUAUCUACCAAUAUGUGAUGGCCUGUUGGAUCAUUCUACUAUUAGUAGAGGUGAAACCUUUGAGAUAUUGGUGAACAACAUUAGAGUGAACCCUAAGGAAGAUGUCGGCGAGUGUCGUAAAAUUAUAAGUGCUCAUGUAGGGUUCAUAAUUAGCUGUUUUAAAAUAAUUAUAAUAAUGGUUAAUAUUUUUGAAAAUUAUAUA